UACGUAGGGUGCAAGCGUUAAUCGGAAUUACUGGGCGUAAAGCGUGCGCAGGCGGUUUUGUAAGACAGGGGUGAAAUCCCCGGGCUUAACCUGGGAACUGCAUUUGUGACUGCAAGGCUGGAGUGCGGCAGAGGGGGAUGGAAUUCCGCGUGUAGCAGUGAAAUGCGUAGAGAUCCGGAGGAACACCAGAGGCGAAAGCGGCGCUCUGGGCUGCACCUGACGCUGAACUGCGAAAGCCAGGGGAGCGAACGGG
rnacentral:rRNA from 1 species